UCUUCCCAUUCAACAUACAACCUAGCCUCAGUUUUCUAGUGUAAAAGGGGAGAGAGGAAUGGAAUAGAAUGUAGGAGGAAAAUAGAAAAGAUCUGGACCAAGAAAUCUGGGAAGUCUGAAGACCAAGAAAUCUGGGAACUUUGAGUACAAUGCAUGACCAUAUUCUUCAAGUCUUAAAGGAGCUGAUGAGCUUACAGUCAUUUGACAGCAGCAGGCACCCAAUUGACUCCCAACCUGCUUGCACAAAAAGAUAACACUUCAGGAUUCUAAAGUGGAUUCGUUUUCCCAGGAGUUACCCUAUUCUCAAAAGACUCUAGAUGGAAACACUUUAAUAAGGCAGACCUAAUUUUUCAAUCUCACCUUUUGUAACUGGGUAUGAAUGAGCUAUUCUUCAUGUUCUUGUAGCUUGACAGGAACAAGAAAGUGUACCAAAUCAUUAAUUCUCUAAUUUGCCCACAUAACAUAAAACCAGCUGGCUUUUAAUAUUUAAUUAAAUUAGUGUGCUCCCCAACUGAGUUCUAAUAUUCCAAUUUCAAUUUUCAGCACAAAGCUAAUAUAAAACCCAAAAGCACUGAGUGAUGUGGAAAGGGAAAAUGUGACCUUGGUAGGAUAAUGUGAAGGCGUCCACAGAUGAAAAGAGCAGCUUAAACUGAUGGCCGUUCAUUUCUCUGUCACACAACAGUCCAUGGCAGGCAAGGGUUCAGGCCUCCCUCACCCUGGCCCCCCACUGUGUGCCCCAGUUGGCUACUCUAGGUCAGAAAACUAAUGAGGCAAUCAACUGCAUGGCUUUCUGCUGGGAAGAUUGAACUAGAAUUGGAGCACCCAGGUUCACUGUCACAUACAGGAUUGAAGCCUUCACAUCUGACACUCAACUUUGCAGGACACAAGGGACCAAAAGGGAGGAAUUUCUCCCUGUGGAGCAUCAAGGAGUUUUGUAAAAGGUUUUUCAACUGAGAGACAUGAAAGAGGGCCUCAGAGAGGGGACAUUUGGAAUGGUCUCUUUUUGGAAAACCGAAGCCAUAAACAAACCCUUCCCUUCUUUGGUUAAGAGUAUGAGUAGAUUAGAUUCAGUGACAGCCUUUGUUCUCUCUCAUACUAUAUUGCUUUUUUGAGAGUUACUGCAGCUUAAGAAAAUAACUUUGUAUAUUUCCAUUAUAGAGGGUUUGGUCUGGGGAAGAUAGUCAGGACAGUAGGUACACAAGGAAAGGAUGGCAGCUGCUCUCCAAACAUCUUUCCAGGGCUACAGAGCACGGGGUGGGUGGAGGUGGAGCUGGAGGUCAAUUCUUUGGAUGAAAUCCUCCAGCCCUGCUUUGCCCUCCACCCUCCCACCAUCACCCAUGAUAAGCAUGGAGCAUCGUUCAGGACAGAAAAGAAGAAACUCCUUCACGCCAGGCUAUAUGCAUGUGGUAAGUAUUUAUGCAUAAGGCAAAUAUCUAUCACUGUAAUGGCAAAGAUGACAGAUUGAUUUGACUUUGUGAUAAUGCAUCGUUCUGAUCACACUGUGCCAUUGUUGAUAUAGAGUCUCCAGAGAAAACUACAAACAGAUAAAGAAGGCUGGCAGCUCAAUUUUAAUAGAGUCUUAGGAUGAAGAACAGUAAUAUUUGGGAGCAUCACCAACUAAUACUGGUGCCCAAGAGAACUUUCAAGAUAUAAGCCA
rnacentral:lncRNA from 10 species